rnacentral:rRNA from 1 species
AGAGCGAACGCUGGCGGCAGGCUUAACACAUGCAAGUCGAGCGCCCCGCAAGGGGAGCGGCAGACGGGAGAGUAACACGUGGGAACGUACCUUUCGGUUCGGAACAACCCAGGGAAACUUGGGCUAAUACCGGAUACGUCCGUAAGGAGAAAGAUUUAUCGCCGAAAGAUCGGCCCGCGUCUGAUUAGCUAGUUGGUGAGGUAACGGCUCACCAAGGCGACGAUCAGUAGCUGGUCUGAGAGGAUGAUCAGCCUCACUGGGACUGAGACACGGCCCAGACUCCUACGGGAGGCAGCAGUGGGGAAUAUUGGACAAUGGGCGCAAGCCUGAUCCAGCCAUGCCGCGUGGGUGAUGAAGGCCCUAGGGUUGUAAAGCCCUUUCGGCGGGGAAGAUAAUGACGGUACCCGCAGAAGAAGCCCCGGCUAACUUCGUGCCAGCAGCCGC